rnacentral:rRNA from 1 species
GAUGAACGCUGGCGGCGUGCCUAAUACAUGCAAGUCGAGCGAACGGACGAGAAGCUUGCUUCUCUGAUGUUAGCGGCGGACGGGUGAGUAACACGUGGAUAACCUACCUAUAAGACUGGGAUAACUUCGGGAAACCGGAGCUAAUACCGGAUAAUAUUUUGAACCGCAUGGUUCAAAAGUGAAAGACGGUCUUGCUGUCACUUAUAGAUGGAUCCGCGCUGCAUUAGCUAGUUGGUAAGGUAACGGCUUACCAAGGCAACGAUGCAUAGCCGACCUGAGAGGGUGAUCGGCCACACUGGAACUGAGACACGGUCCAGACUCCUACGAGAGGCAGCGGUAGGGAAUCUUACGCAAUGGGCGAAAGCCUGACGGAGCAACGCCGCGUGAGUGAUGAAGGUCUUCGGAUCGUAAAACUCUGUUAUUAGGGAAGAACAUAUGUGUAAGUAACUGUGCACAUCUUGACGGUACCUAAUCAGAAAGCCACGGCUAACUACGUG